AUUGAACGCUGGCGGCAGGCCUAACACAUGCAAGUCGAACGGUAGCACAGAGAGCUUGCUCUCGGGUGACGAGUGGCGGACGGGUGAGUAACGCCUGGGAAACUGCCCGAUGGAGGGGGAUAACUACUGGAAACGGUAGCUAAUACCGCAUAACGUCGCAAGACCAAAGUGGGGGACCUUCGGGCCUCACACCAUCGGAUGUGCCCAGAUGGGAUUAGCUAGUAGGUGGGGUAAUGGCUCACCUAGGCGACGAUCCCUAGCUGGUCUGAGAGGAUGACCAGCCACACUGGAACUGAGACACGGUCCAGACUCCUACGGGAGUCAGCAGUGGGGAAUAUUGCACAAUGGGCGCAAGCCUGAUGCAGCCAUGCCGCGUGUAUGAAGAAGGCCUUCGGGUUGUAAAGUACUUUCAGCGGGGAGGAAGGCGGUGAAGUUAAUAACUUCACCGAUUGACGUUACCCGCAGAAGAAGCACCGGCUAACUCCGUGCCAGCAGCCGCAGUAA
rnacentral:rRNA from 1 species